CACUUGCUUAGUCUUUGACCAAAUUUGAUUUAUUUGUUGGGCCAAACUAUGGUCCAUUUUGUGACUUUAGUAUAAAUAAAGGCAUCAAAGUGAUCCUCACACUCAUGAAGAAAAAUAUUGAGUGUUGUUAGCAUCAAAAGAAUGUUAGACAGUGCCAACCUUCAAGCAUAAUGUGGUUGUUCCUGAGAGAACUCGUGAUUUACUUUUCCUUUAUUUCCUAAAUGUAAAUAUGAAGUACAUAGAGCUUGAUCUUUUAGAAGAUUACAUGAACAAUAGUGUUCAUUAACAAAAAGAUGAUCUCGACAAGGAUGCAUUUGGUCGUCACAAUGUCAAAGUGGAUGUGGUCAGUGUCCGUGAUUGGUUUGAACAAGAAAUUGAUUUUGUUGUCAAUUGGUGCUAGGCUUCAAACAGUGUGGAGUUUCAAGGGGAAAGGAAUACUAAAAACAAUCCUUCUUUGAACAAAAUGGUUUGGAAAAGUAUUGGAGACUUAAAUUUAAAGGGUUCCACCAUUCAAUUGAAAGUUAAAUGCUAUUGACAUCCAGAGAGCCAAUGACUACUUUACUUCGGAAUCAACUUCUUGAUCAAACCAUUUAUGAACAUUGGCUGCAAUCACUUAGUCAUUAUGCCCACCCCCUUUAUCCUCAUUAGGUUCAUCUUCUUGUUGAUGAAUGUCAAUGUUUGUAUAAUCUUCUAAGAGUUCAAGCUCAAAGUACUUCAUGCUUACCAUAGUGGGAGGGUCAAUCACUUAGUCAUUAUGCCCACCCUCUUUUUUACUCUUUUAUGCCAACAACAAUCAAUGUUUCUUAUCAUAGUGGGAGGGACACCCCUAUGUCUAUAGUUAUACUCAAAUAUCAAAAUUUACAAGUCUAAACUUGUAAUUAUGGAGAAUUUCUGUAGUUGAAGUGUCAAACAAAAAAUGAGAUUUUAUAAUAGAUUAAGCAAGUGU